ACGUAUCUUAAAAAUCUUAUUUACCAAGUUUUUGAACAAAACAAAAUUACCAGCUUGUGUAUAUGGAUGUUUUAUUAAUUGUUUAUAUUUUUAAUAAUUUUUUUGAUUCUCAAAAUUAUUUAUUUCAUUAGUUUUCAGAAAUACAAAGGGUAAAAAGGAGAAAAAAUGGACAAAACUAGUUUUAUACCAAAGGGACAACAACCUGGUUUUUUUAUUCUCUUUUGGCAAUUUUCCCAUUAUUAUUU
rnacentral:lncRNA from 1 species